ensembl:lncRNA
CAUGUGAGAGGAGUACAACUGCUCAGUAGUUUGAGUAUACUUUGGCAUUGCCUUUGUUUGGGAUUGGAAUGAAAACUGACCUUUUCCAGUCCUGUGGCCACUGCUGAGUUUUCCAGAUUUGCGGGCAUACUGAGUGCCGGUGAUAUGAAGUACUUUGCAAAUCUUAAAUUGCCGUCUCUAUUAAGUCAGUCAUGCCAACCAAUGCAAGCCUUCCUGAAAAAGUUAUCCUCUUUGUGCCCAAAGAUGUCAUAAGUUUUUAAUCUCUGGGAGAUUCUUUACUAAGUUGUCAAAGUUCUUUCACAUAACUCUCCACUUCUAAUGAACUGGUGAGAUAGAGACAAUAAGAACAUAUUUACAGAAGGGACCAUAAGAACAUCCUGAGAAGAACUCAACAUAGAAAAAGAGAAUCAAGACCAUUACAUAUAAGGUUAAUAUUAUGGUGGCCAGAAUACUGCAGUGGAUUCCCUUCUCCAGUGGAUCUUCCCAACCCAGUGAUUGAACCCCAGGUCUCCUCAUUGCAGAAGAGAGGUUCCAUAAGCAUACAGUAAGAUGGAGACCAUGGGCUUCCCUGAUGGCUCAGC